CCUUAACCUGAUUUAGGAAAAUAUCUAGUCAUAUUUGAGUAAAAUAUAUCCAAAUAGACGAUUACUCUCGUAAAAUAUAGCUUGAACUAAAAUAAUCUGGUAAAAAAGCUUUUCAACUAAUUUGUUCUGUCAUAUAUAAAUCAAAAAGACUGGUCAUCAUCCUCCUCAACAGCCUCAGAAGGAGGAAGAUCAUCUUUCUUCCAACACGUCUCAACCAUACCUCCCCACUAAAAAAAAGGAAAGGCAAGGAGACUCCAUUGGUUGUGAGAGCAAAGACAAACCACCAGAAUGGCAUCCGUGGUGUCACUAGCCAUCCAGGUCCAAGUUCCAGCCAACUGAGUGGAGCUGGUUCACAGGCCAGACCAGCAUCUGGAAGACCAGACCAGCAUCUGGAAGACCAGACCAACAUCUGGAAGGAAUGAACUUAAAAUAGACAUGCGAGUAGGAGGCCAGGAGGGGAGGUCCAACUUACUUCAAGUAAAAUGGAAGAAAGUUACACUCUUGGAACUCCAAGACCUUGUUUUCAGACCUUUGUGGAACGUGUCCCACUAAACUCUACAGGCAUUUCAGACCUCAAAGUCAUCCUCAACCAGGGACAGAAUGUUAAGCAAACCGUGGGGUGUGUGUUCGAGAAGGUCUUCACACCGUCCUUGGCAACCCAACUGAACCAGAGCGGGAGGGGGCAGAAGACUGUCAUCUGGUCAGUGCCACUGAAGGAUGCUAUUAUGUGUUCUGUUCUUAAAAACCCACAUUUUCCACGAAUAACGGAGGCCGAGGUUGAAAGGGCAGUUGAAAACUGUCUCAGGCUGAGUCAAGAUUGACUCGGGGACGGCAGCUGGAGGGAGAGAUCUGCGGAAGAAGAGGACGAUUAUUUGUAGCCUAUAUAAUGC
ensembl:lncRNA